rnacentral:rRNA from 1 species
UUGGGUGCAAUUUGGCACGCAGUAUCGAAGCUAACGCGUUAAGUUCGCCGCCUGGGGAGUACGGUCGCAAGACUGAAACUCAAAGGAAUUGACGGGGGCCCGCACAAGCGGUGGAGUAUGUGGUUUAAUUCGAUGCAACGCGAAGAACCUUACCUGGCCUUGACAUGUCGAGAACUUUCCAGAGAUGGAUCGGUGCCUUCGGGAACUCGAACACAGGUGCUGCAUGGC